CGGCUGUGAUGAAUCAAAGGCCGGACUUAUGGCUGCCCCCUGAAAUGGGUUUGGUAGUAGAUUGACGAUAAAGUCUGAGCAAAGGUUUUCCUGAGCCAU